GUUAUUCACCCGUAGGAGAAAGAAGUUGAAGCCAGUCAGCACUAUCCACCUAGUGCAAUUGAUCUGGAUUAUAGACAGGCUGCAAAGAAGGACAUCAACAGCCUCUGGGAUACUACACUUGUAAACCCCUGCCUACCUCGUGACAACAAUCGUUCUAUUAACCCUAACCAUUUCUGGGAAGGAUGCCUGUGGGACUGCCGUUUGGCACCAGGGCUGGGAGGAAAACAGGAGCCGCCACGUUUAAACCUCAGAG
rnacentral:lncRNA from 1 species